GGCCCUGUAGUUUAGUGGUCUAUAACGCCUGAUUCCAGAAAAGGAAAUUCCAGGAGGUCAUCCGUUCAACUCGGAUCAGGGUCA